UCAGAUGGGAAUGCCUUGGAAGUUUAUUCCUACUCAAAGAGAGGUGAGCGUGAAGCCAGGAGAGAGUGCUCUUGCUUUUUACACUGCUGAAAAUCUUAGUUCCGCUCCUAUAACUGGCAUGUCUACUUAUAAUGUUACACCCA